rnacentral:sRNA from 1 species
CCUCCUCCUUGGUCGCCGCGUCCUUGGCUGGCGUGUGAGUACCGCGGCCCCCGCCGGAAGGAGUCGGGCGCGACAGAGACGCCCGAGGGGCCGGGAGGGCGGGCGGCCCGGGCUGCGCCAGAAGCUCGCGCCGUUAGGGACUGAGGCGCAAGUGCGCCAGCGCGGGCUUAGGGGCCGUGGGCCAAGUGCGGCUCUUGGGGCGAGCGCAGAGAGGCGGGGCGGCGGAGGCCACGUGGCCUGCCUGGAGGGCGUUCGCGGGCCGGGGGCGCCGGGAGCACUGGCUCACGGCGCAUCCCGGUCGUGGAAGCCCCUCGGCCGGGCUGCUGGGGCCUAAGGCCUGUGUUUGCUGCCGUCUCCGCGGGAGACCAGACAUCUGCCCCAGCUGUUCCUCUGGCCUCAGACCUUCGUACACCACGUGUUUGUUAAGCACCAGUUACUGCACGCAUCAGCUGAGCACAGAGGGGAUAGGCACGGACGCAGCACUCUUGGAACUUAGACGCUAGUGAGCACGGAAAGGAAUAAGCCUAAAAAUGGCUACAAACUUCCUAGCACAUGAGAAGAUCUGGUUCGACAAGUUCAAAUAUGACGACGCAGAAAGGAGAUUCUACGAGCAGAUGAACGGGCCUGUGGCAGGUGCCUCCCGCCAGGAGAACGGCGCCAGCGUGAUCCUCCGUGACAUUGCGAGAGCCAGAGAGAACAUCCAGAAAUCCCUGGCUGGAGUGAGUACCCGCGGCCCACGGACCCGCGGGCUCCUGCUCGGCCAAGUAGCACGUCUGAUUUUUCCUGAUGCUGCUGGUUGUUUUGGCUUCACAGCAGAGUCAGGGCAGAGUGCACAGCGCUGUGCUCCUUGGGACGUGUGGCUCUGUGGCCUCCAGGCCCGGACUGCCAUGGACAGUGUUCUUAUUC